CUAAUUUGAGAUGUCCAUGUUUAGGUUAAAAUUAGAUAUUUGCUCCUACCGUCAUUAAAGUAAGGAUCUUCUGUUUGACGACUUAACAUCAAAAUAGUAUAUCCUGCCAAAGUACAAACUCAAUGCCAAGAUUUACCCAUGAGCUAGGAACUUUCUGUAAUCAGCUUUUAAUAUAUGAAACAAACUUCCAGAAAUAUUGAAAUCAGCUCAAUAAUCAAAAUAGCUUUCAAAAUCUGAAUACACAAAUACCAACUGCGACAUUAACUUUCAACAAAUGCAGCAAGCUAAUUUGG